UCUCAAGCUAAAGAAAGAAAAGAAAAGAAAUGCGCAAAAUUGACUUCUUGGAAACAAACACUGAUGUCUGUCCGCUCUCUCCCGUCGGGUCAUUUGCUCAUGGGUGUUCUACAGCUGACGGUUAUUGAGCCCCAUCCCCACCUCCGGGCAGAUGCCCUCUGUCCUAACGCUGCACGCUGCCCCUCUACUCCCAGCUCGGUGGCACUCGGCAGAAUGACGUCUUCCACUGGCUGGGGGGCGGCAGACCGUGUGACCAGAUACCGCAAAUCCGUCAUGUCAGGUGGAAAAUCCCUCCAGGACACACGUGGCCCUCCCCUGUCCUUAGACCAGUUAGCUACCAUCGUGGGCUGAAAAAUGCUCCCGCCUCCAGAAUCCCUGGAACCUGUGAACGGCACUCGAGAUGGCAAAAGACUGAAUAUUCUCUUCCAGGGUGAGAGAGGUGGUGGAGCUGAGGAUCUGCGGAAGAGGAACUUAGCCUGCGUUAUCCAGGCGGACCCUGAGCACAACCACAUGUGUCCUUGUAAGAGAGGAUGAUGGAGACGCACAGCCACACGCAGAAGGCAGCGGGGGGCGGGGGGGGGGGGCUGAAGGUGGAGCAGAGACACGUGGCCACGAGCCACGGAAUGCCCAGAGACACCAGGAGCUGGAAAAAGUGAGGAAUGGAUUCUCCCUCGGCCUUCCAGAGGGAUCGUGGCUCUGCCAGUACCUUGAUUUGGGGCUUCUGGCCUCCAGAACUACAAGAGAGUACGUUUCUCUCCCUUUAAGCCACCAAGUUUGUGAUCGCGUGUUACAACAGCAUCAAGAAAUGAAUAGAGCUUCAUACAAAAAGAUCUGCCCGCGCCUGGCGUUUCAUGUGAAUGGAAGCCUACCGCAUGUGGUUGGCGGUGACUGGCUUCGUUCACUUAACAACCUUUUCAAGGUUUGUCCACGUUGUAGCAUGUACCAGUACCUCGUACUUUUUUAUUGGCAAAUAAUACUCGACCGUAUGAGUCUACUGCAUUUUAUCCAGCAGCUGAAGGACAUUUGGCUUGCUUUUACUUUGGGUCAUUAUGAACGAUGCUGCUACGAACAUUUGCGUACAAGUUUUUGCGUGAACGUUAAGUUUUCCUUCUGUUGGGUGGGUGUGUACCUAAGGAGGGCAACUGCUGAGUCACAGAGUAACUCUAAUUAACCUUUUUGAUUAAGAACGGCCAGACCGUUUCCCCAAGUGGCCAGACCGUUUUACAUCCCCACCAGCAACGCACAAGACUUUCAUCACCUCCAACUUUUGGGUUCUAGCCAUCCUAGUGGGGGGUGAAGCUGAUUUGCAUUUUCCUGAUGACCCGUGACCUUAAGCAUCUUUUCUUGUGCUCAUUGGCCACGGCUACCUGUUUUUGUAAAUACAGGUGAUUGGAACACAGCCACAACUCCUUGUUUAUACGUUGUUGAUGGCUGCUCUUACACUGCAGUGGCAGGGUUGAGUAGCUGUUUUGUGUGUGGCUCCUGAAGAAAAGACGAUCAGGUUCUUGACUUUGGGGUAGACAGGGCAGGCAUUUGAACCCGGGAAGGAAGGAAUCCCUGAUGGAUAGUUUGCCUGUCCAGUGCUCUUCCCAGGUCGAGACUAGCACAGAGAAGCUGAAGUGACAGCAGGGCCAGUGGAAUAAAAAGCCGGAGCCUAAGUAAUUCCAACGGUACUUGCCAACGGCCACUGUAGGGCUGGAAUGCCAGGAUCCAACAGGAAACAAGCUUUCGUUUGGAAGGGGGGCAAAUCUACAUUUUGUUGCAAGCAAUGCCUAUUAUCCCCAGUGACUUGGAGGCCCUUCUUCCCCGAAGGGGAAGGAAAUGCAUUUAAACACAAGGGAAAACUGCAAGUAACAGGUAUAAAAGACAUUUGGGGAACUUACGGAAACCUGAGUAUUUAAUAAUAUUAAGAAACUAUCAAGGGACGCCUGGAUAGCUCAAUUGAUUAAGUGUCUGACUUCAGCUCAGGUCAUGAUCUCAUGGUUCGUGGGUUUGAGCCCUACUUUGGGCUCUGUCCUGACAGAUCAGAGCCUGGAGCC